GCAGAACACUGAGGUGACAACCAAAUCGCUGAAGAAACCUUCUCAGAAGGGCGGCGGCGGCAUGAGAGCAUGCAAAUUGACUGAGAAAUCUGAAAAUCAAUUCAUAGCACCAAAACCAGUGGUGGUCUCAAAUAGUCUGGCUGAAAUUGCUGAUGGGAUACUUCCAUCGAAGAAGCUUCGUCUUUCAGUUAACUUCAAAAAGCCUGAUAGGAAAGGACCGGUACCUUGUUCAGCUGAAUCAAUAAGAUCAACUCCUGUCAAAUCUUCUAAGGAAUCUGACGGUUUCAGUAACAGCUUUGUAAAUAAACCAUGUACGACGUCCCCAUAUACAAGGGUGAUGGAUAAGGCUUAUAGUAGUAGCGACCAGAAGCCGAGGAAGGUAGCCAAUGGAGCGGAGCCAAGGAGAUGACAGAAUGUUGAAGAGCGAACUGAUUAUGCAGUGAAUCAGACAAGAACUGUUACUGUUGCAUUUGUCUGUUCCUUCUAACUGCUGUUCGACAUGCAAAAUAUGGUAGAAUCUGUAUAGCCUGUCACAUGGAAGAAAUGAAUGUUGUAAUCUUAUGCUGGGCUGGGUGACUUGGGAUCAUUGUGCUUGUACCAUUACAUGUUACAUGGAUGCCAGACACAUCGAUACGCUUUCA
rnacentral:misc_RNA from 1 species